GUCGGCCGCCCGCCGCGGGCAACUGAGCCCUUGGGCGCGCUCCCGGACCGCGUCCGCGUCGUGGCCCCGGGGGUCCGCAGACAGGUCUGAGCUGGGCUGCGGGACCGCAGCGGCACGGAGCAGACUCCUAGCCCGACCCCCGCUCGCGGUCGUCGGGAACACGGUUCCUGACCCUCCCGAAACCCAGGUCGGGGCCGCGGGCCAGCCUGCAAGGAAUGCGUCCCGCGCGGCCUUUGACACCUUGCAGGACGUGGCAGCGGCGGUAGCAUGCGGCCUCCCCGUCCAGAAGCCUCACUCUGGGCCCGGCAGUGGUCCGUCUGUCGGUGUCCAAUGGGGCGGACACCCACAAGGUCCUACAGAGCUGGACGGGGAGCCGGCGUGGAUCCCAGGGGCAUCUCCUGAGUGCUCUCUGCAACACGACAGGGGAUGCCAGUUUGAUCCCUGGUCCAGGAAGAUUCCACAACGUCAUGGGGCACCUAAGCCCGCAAGCCACAGCUAUGAAACCUGCAUGGGCUGGAACCUGUGGUCGGAAACCAGAG
ensembl:lncRNA